rnacentral:rRNA from 1 species
UACGUAGGGGGCAAGCGUUGUCCGGAUUUAUUGGGCGUAAAGAGCGUGUAGGCGGCCAGGUAGGUCUGCUGUGAAAACUCGAGGCUCAACCUCGAGACGUCGGCGGAAACCAUCUGGCUAGAGUCCGGAAGAGGAGAGUGGAAUUCCUGGUGUAGCGGUGAAAUGCGCAGAUAUCAGGAGGAACACCGGUGGCGAAGGCGGAUCUCUGGGCCGAUACUGACGCUGAGGAGCGAAAGCGUGGGGAGCGAACAGG